UACGGAGGGUGCAAGCGUUAAUCGGAAUUACUGGGCGUAAAGCGUGCGCAGGCGGUUUGUUAAGUCCGUUGUGAAAGCCCCGAGCUCAACUUGGGAAUUGCAGUGGAUACUGGCAGGCUGGAGUACGGUAGAGGAAGGUGGAAUUCCCGGUGUAGCAGUGAAAUGCGUAGAUAUCGGGAGGAACACCAGUGGCGAAGGCGGCUUCCUGGCCUGCAACUGACGCUGAGACGCGAAAGCGUGGGGAGCGAACCGG
rnacentral:rRNA from 1 species